rnacentral:tRNA from 1 species
ACCGAGGUAGUGUAAUUGGCAACACACAGGACUUUGGAUCCUGUAGUGAAGGUUCGAGCCCUUCCCUCGGUG